rnacentral:rRNA from 1 species
AGUCUGGUGCCAGCAGCCGCGGUAAUUCCAGCUCCAAUAGUGUAUAUUAAAGUUGCUGCAGUUAAAAAGCUCGUAGUUGGAUUUUGAAUUAUAAAAAUUUAACAUUCAUCUUUUAGAUGUGAUUUAAUUUUUAUAUUCUUCCUUUUGAUACGCUCCAUCAAAUUAUAUUUUUUGGAUUUAAGUGUUUCAAAUUGUUUACUGUGAAAAAAUUAGAGUGUUCAAAGCAGGCGUAACCUAGCCUUUGAAUAUAUUAGCAUGGGAUAAUGAAAUAGGACUUUAAUCCUACUUUCGUUGGUUUCUAGGGCUAAAGUAAUGAUUAAUAGGGAUAGUUGGGGUCACUAGUAUUUAAUUGUCAGAGGUGAAAUUCUAAGAUUUAUUAAAGACUAACUACUGCGAAAGCAUUUGACAAGGAUGUUUUCAUUAAUCAAGAACGAAAGUUGGGGGAUCGAAGAUGAUCAGAUACCGUCGUAGUCUCAACCAUAAACUAUGCCGACCAAGGAUCCGAGGUUGUUAAUAUGGAUGACUCUUCGGGCACUUAUAGAGAAAUCAUAAGUAUUUGGGCUCCGGGGGGAGUAUGGUCGCAAGGCUGAAACUUAAAGGAAUUGACGGAAGGGCACCACAAGGAGUGGAACCUGCGGUUUAAUUUGACACAACACGGGAAAACUUACCAGGUCCAGACACAGUGAGGAUUGACAGAUUGAGAGUUCUUUCUUGAUUCUGUGAGUGGUGGUGCAUGGCCGUUUCUAGUUGGUGGAGUGAUUUGUCUGGUUAAUUCCGUUAACGAACGAGACCUUAACCUAUUAAAUAGUUAUUUAAACUUGAUUUUUAAAAUCAAAUGUUUAAAAAACUUCUUAGAGGGACUCUUCACUGAGAGAGUGAAUGGAAGUUUGAGGCAAAAACAGGUCUGUGAUGCCCUUAGAUGUUCUGGGCCACACGCGCGUUACACUGACAUAUUCAACGAGCAUUAUCCUUACCCGUCGGGGUUGGGUAAUCUUUUAAAUGUAUGUCGUGCUGGGGAUAGAUCAUUGUAAUUAUUGGUCUUGAACGAGGAAUUCCUAGUAAGUGCGAGUCAUCAACUCGCGCUGAUUACGUCCCUGCCCUUUGUACACACCGCCCGUCGCUCCUACCGAUUGAAUGGUCCGGCGAGAACUCAGGAUGGAUAUGGAUUUUGGACACCGUUAGGUGCUCCAACCAUAUCCAGAAUUUGUUCAA